CGUAACAAGGUUUCCGUAGGUGAACCUGCGGAAGGAUCAUUACCUAGAGUUGUAGGCUUUGCCUGCUAUCUCUUACCCAUGUCUUUUGAGUACCUUACGUUUCCUCGGUGGGUUCGCCCACCGAUUGGACAAACUUAAACCCUUUGCAGUUGAAAUCAGCGUCUGAAAAAACUUAAUAGUUACAACUUUCAACAACGGAUCUCUUGGUUCUGGCAUCGAUGAAGAACGCAGCGAAAUGCGAUAAGUAGUGUGAAUUGCAGAAUUCAGUGAAUCAUCGAAUCUUUGAACGCACAUUGCGCCCCUUGGUAUUCCAUGGGGCAUGCCUGUUCGAGCGUCAUUUGUACCUUCAAGCUCUGCUUGGUGUUGGGUGUUUGUCUCCUGUAGACUCGCCUUAAAACAAUUGGCAGCCGGCGUAUUGAUUUCGGAGCGCAGUACAUCUCGCGCUUUGCACUCAUAACGACGACAUCCAAAAGUACAUUUUUACACUCUUGACCUCGGAUCAGGUAGGGAUACCCGCUGAACUUAAGCAUAUCAAUAA
rnacentral:misc_RNA from 1 species